rnacentral:rRNA from 1 species
GACGAACGCUGGCGGCGUGCUUAACACAUGCAAGUGGAGCGACGAAGCGGACUUCGGUCCGUGGCAGAGCCGCGAACGGGUGAGUAACACGUGGGUAACCUACCCCGAUGACCGGGACAACCCGAGGAAACUCGGGCUAAUACCGGAUGUUCUGCACUCUCGUAAGGGAGUUCAGCAAAGAUAGCUUCGGCCUUCGCAUCGGGACGGGCCCGCGGCCCAUUAGCUUGUUGGUGGGGUAACGGCCUACCAAGGCGACGAUGGGUAGCUGGUCUGAGAGGACGAUCAGCCACACUGGGACUGAGACACGGCCCAGACUCCUACGGGAGGCAGCAGUGGGGAAUCUUGCGCAAUGGGCGAAAGCCUGACGCAGCAACGCCGCGUGGGGGAAGAAGGCCUUCGGGUUGUAAACCCCUUUCAGUUGGGACGAAGCUUCCAGGGUUAAUAGCCCUGUGGAGUGACGGUACCUUCAGAAGAAGCCCCGGCUAACUACGUGCCAGCCGCCGCCGUAACAC